CUCUUCGAUGUUCUGGGCUGCACGCGCGCUACAGUGGCAAAGGCAGAGAGCAUGAAUUAAUUAUAGAGUCGCAUCGAGGGAUGUGACGAAUCAGCAAUCGUUGUCGUGAUUGGGAUUGAGCGUUGUAAUAUUUGCUCAUGAAAGAGGAAUUCCUCGUAAGCGCGAGUCACUAACUCGUGUUAAUUACGUCUCUGCCCUUUGUACACACCGCCCGUCGCUACUACCGAUUGAACUGGUUUUUGAAGUGUAGAGAUUGGCAGGCAUGGUUUACGUGCAUUGCAAAGAACCACUCUGAAAAAAUCGUUCGAGAAGAAGUAAAAGUCGUAACA
rnacentral:rRNA from 1 species